GAUGAACGCUGGCGGCGUGCCUAAUACAUGCAAGUCGAGCGAACAGACGAGGAGCUUGCUCCUCUGACGUUAGCGGCGGACGGGUGAGUAACACGUGGAUAACCUACCUAUCAGACUGGUAUAACUUCGGAAAACCGGAGCUAAUACCGGAUAAUAUAUUGAACCGCAUGGUUCAAUAGUGAAAGACGGUUUUGCUGUCACUUAUAGAUGGAUCCGCGCUGCAUUAGCUGGUUGGUAAGGUAACGGCUUACCAAGGCAACGAUGCGUAGCCGACCUGAGAGGGUGAUCGGCCACACGGGAGCUGAGACACGGACCAGACGCCUACGGGAGGCAGCAGUAGGGAAUCUUCCGCAAUGGGCGAAAGCUUGACGGAGCAACGCGGCGUGAGUGAUGAAGGUCUUCGGAUCGUAAAACUCUGUUAUGAGGGAAGAACAGAUGUGGAAGUAACUGUGCACGUCUUGACGGUACCUAAUCAGAAAGCCACGGCUAACUACGUG
rnacentral:rRNA from 1 species